UACGUAUGUCGCAAGCGUUAUCCGGAAUUAUUGGGCAUAAAGGGCAUCUAGGCGGCCAGGCAAGUCUGGGGUGAAAACUUGCGGCUCAACCGCAAGCCUGCCCUGGAAACUGCCUGGCUAGAGUGCUGGAGAGGUGGACGGAACUGCACGAGUAGAGGUGAAAGUCGUAGAUAUGUGCAGGAAUGCCGAUGAUGAAGAUAGUUCACUGGACGGCAACUGACGCUGAAGUGCGAAAGCUGGGGGAGCGAACAGG
rnacentral:rRNA from 1 species